rnacentral:rRNA from 1 species
UAAUCUGCCCUUCGAUGGGGAAUAACCUCGCGAAAGCGAGGCUAAUUCCGCAUAACAUUCCGAGGAUCUCGGUCCAUGGAUUCAAAGCCGUAAGGCGUCGAAGGAGGAGCCCGCGCACGAUUAGCUAGUUGGUGAGGUAACGGCUCACCAAGGCUAUGAUCGUUAGCUGGUCUGAGAGGAUGGCCAGCCACACUGGAACUGAGACACGGUCCAG